rnacentral:rRNA from 1 species
CCUACGGGAGGCUGCAGUGAGGAAUAUUGGACAAUGGACGAGAGUCUGAACCAGCCAAGUAGCGUGAAUGAUGACUGCCUUCUGGGUUGUAAACUUCUUUUAUAAAGGAAUAAAACGAGGCACGUGUGCGUUUUUGCAUGUACUUUAUGUAUAAGGAUCGGCUAACUACGUGACAUCAGCCGCGGUAAUACGGAGGAUCCGAGCGUUAUCCGGUUUUAUUGGGUUUAAAGGGAGCGUAGAUGGGUUGUUAAGUCAGAUGUGAAAGUCUGCGGUUCAACCGUAAAAUUGCAAUUGAUACUGGGAGUCGUGAGUACAGAUGAGGCAGGCGGAACUCGUGGUGUAGCGGUGAAAUGCGUAGAUAGCACGAAGAACACCGAUUGCGAAGGCAGCUUACUAAACUGUGACUGACAUUGAUGCUCGAAAGUGUGGGUAGCAAACAGGAUUAGAUACCCGUGUAGUC